UGACCUCGGAUCAGACGUGAUUACCCGCUGAAUUUAAGCAUAUUAUUAAGCGGAGGAAAGAAACUAACAAGGAUUCCCCUAGUAACGGCGAGUGAACGGGGAAGAGCCCAACACCGAAUCCCUUGGCGCAAGUCAACGGGAAAUGUGGUGUUAAGGUAGCCCUUCGUGUCAGUCUAGGCGUCUCAAGUCCACCUGAUUGUGGCUCAAGCCCAGAGAGGGUGUAAGGCCCGUAGAGACGCUCCGACUGAUUCCUGGGGUUUACCUACGAGUCGGCUUGUUUGGGAAUGCAGGCCAAAGCGGGUGGUAAACUCCAUCCAAGGCUAAAUACUGGCACGAGUCGAUAGCGGACAAGUACCGUGAGGGAAAGUUUGAAAAGAACUUUGAAGAGAAGAGUUCAAUAGUACGUGAAACCGCUUAGAGGCAAACGGAUGGUGCUCAUACUGGCCUGAGGAAUUCAACUGUGACGGUGGCUGGACGAGCUGGCGUUCCGAUCUCUCUUUUGGGACGGGCGUCGGUUUGGCUAUCAGCUCCGACAUGGUGCACUUUCCUUGGUGCCUGCCACGACCGCCACGACCGCGACACUGCUACCCGCGGCUGGGUAAGGUGUGACAAAACUGCUUCGGCAAUUUGUGUUAUAGACCCCGGCGUCGGACAUGGUUUGGCCAGGACGUCGAGCUUGCGGCGCCCGCUCCUGUUGGGCUCGCAUGUUGGCUAGCUUGGGCUGCGCCGAUGCUUGCACUGGACAACCAGUACAGGUGACGGUUGUGGUCUUGUCUCUAGUUGGCCUCUGCGAGUUUGGCGCCUAUAUAGUCUGUGGUGUACUUGUGGGUAGACUAUCCGACCCGUCUUGAAAACACGGACCAAGGAGUCUAACAUGUGCGCGAGUCAUGGGGAUUCUACGAAACCCAAAGGCGCAGUGAAAGUAAAGGCCUGCUUCUCGUAGGCUGAGGUGGGAUCUCGUGCAUCGCGAUUGGCGAGCGCACCACCGGCCCGUCCUAUCUGUCUCUGUCAGUGGGGCGGCGCAAGAGCGUACACGUUGGGACCCGAAAGAUGGUGAACUAUGCUUGCGCAGCUCGAAGUCAGUGGAAACACUGAUGGAGGAGCGCAGCGUUUCUGACGUGCAAAUCGAUCGUCAAACGUGAGUAUAGGGGCGAAAGACUAAUCGAACCAUCUAGUAGCUGGUUCCCUCCGAAGUUUCCCUCAGGAUAGCUGGCACUCGGGAAACAGUUUUAUCCGGUAAAGCGAAUGAUUAGAGGAGCAUUGGGGUCGAAACGACCUCGACCUAUUCUCAAACUUUAAAUGGGUAAGAUGCUCGUCUCGCUUAAUUGGAGGCGGGCUUC
rnacentral:ncRNA from 1 species